rfam:Novosphingobium sp. B1 genome assembly, contig: Ga0157230_112
AGGAGUGUAGCUCAGUUGGUAGAGCAUCGGUCUCCAAAACCGAGGGCCGUGGGUUCGAGUCCCUCCACUCCUG